rnacentral:rRNA from 1 species
UACGUAGGGUGCAAGUGUUAAUCGGAAUUACUGGGCGUAAAGCGUGUGCAGGCGGCUUUGCAAGACAGAUGUGAAAUCCCCGGGCUUAACCUGGGAACUGCAUUUGUGACUGCAUGGCUAGAGUGCGGCAGAGGGGGAUGGAAUUCCGCGUGUAGCAGUGAAAUGCGUAGAUAUGCGGAGGAACACCGAUGGCGAAGGCAAUCCCCUGGGCCUGCACUGACGCUCAUGCACGAAAGCGUGGGGAGCAAACAGG